rnacentral:rRNA from 1 species
GACGAACCGUCCAAACGUUAUUCGGAAUCACUGGGCUUACAGAGUUCGUAGGCGGUCUAGCAAGUUAGGUGUGAAAUCCCUCAGCUCAACUGAGGAACUGCGCCUGAUACUGCUAGACUCGAGGGAGAUAGAGGAAAGCGGAACAGAUGGUGGAGCGGUGAAAUGCGUUGAUAUCAUCUGGAACACCGGUGGCGAAGGCGGCUUUCUGGGUCUCUUCUGACGCUGAGGAACGAAAGCUAGGGUAGCGAACGGG